GGACAUGAAAGCGAUCUGGCUGCAACAUGUCCCCCCACUGAUCACUUGGGUUGAUUCAGCUAACCUGGCUGGCUGGGCAGGUGCCCCUUCCUCCCUCCCCUCUCCACAUGUGUCCCUCCUGAAGAAAGACCACCCCGACAGAGGAGGACCAUUUCCACAGUCAAGGCUACUUGAGGAGCUUUGCUCCCCUGCUGGAACCUCCAAAUAGUUCUCAAAAUAACAUCCCAAAAAUGUUCAUCUGAGAAGAAUUUAAUAAAAGAUAUGUAAAAGAGCUAUACAU
rnacentral:snRNA from 1 species